UUGAUAUUAAACUUCUCACACAUCAUUAGAUAUUCAUAGCAUUUCGGCCAAUGACAUGGUGUAAUUUACAUCACGUGUAUCUAUCUGGAUACCCCGUCUAGACCAGGAAUUUAAUUACUUCAAGUGGGAAGGGCUUUGAACAAUAGGGAAAUUGAGGGGUAAACAAAAGAUUAUGCAAAUAUAUUUAAUUGCUAUGUUUAGAAUUAUUUCUAAA